rnacentral:misc_RNA from 1 species
GAAAUGCGAUACGUAACGCGAAUUGCAGAAUUCAGUGAAUCGUCGAAUCUUUGAACGCAUACUGCGGCUUUCGGGCUUGCUCGGAAGCCAUGCCUCUUUCAGUAUCGGUUCUAUCUCUCUAUCAAUCCCUGGUGGUUUGGUCAGAGACUGAUUGAGGGUCUUGCUGGCAGGUUCUGCUGGGAGGUCCCUUGAAGAUCUGGAAGGAACAAGCUAGGCGCGGCCUCGUGUUGCCCUGCUUCUGCUUCUUGGUCAGUACCCAGAAGAUAGUUCACCUCUGUGUGAUCUCAAUAUCUCUCUGGCGACCGCCACGGAAGCUCACUUCCCGUACCCUUUUUGACUGUUUUUCAUGAUCUGAUCUGAAAUGAGGUAAGAGGACCCCCUGAACUUAA